GCAAGUCGAACGAGACUUUUCGUUGUAGCAAUACGAUGGAAAGUUUAGUGGCGAACGGGUGCUUAACACGUGGGCAACCUGCCAGGAAGUGGGGGAUAGCUCGCCGAAAGGCGAAUUAAUACCGCAUGUGAUUAGAGAGGACAUCCUUUCGAAAUUAAAGUCGGGGCAACCUGACGCUUCUUGUGGGGCCCGCGGCCUAUCAGCUAGUUGGUGAGGUAACGGCCCACCAAGGCUUUGACGGGUAGCUGGUCUGAGAGGACGACCAGCCACACUGGGACUGAGACACGGCCCAGACACCUACGGGUGGCAGCAGUCGAGAAUUUUUGACAAUGGGGGAAACCCUGAUCGAGCGACGCCGCGUGGAGGAUGAAGGUCUUCGGAUUGUAAACUCCUGUCAUUGGGGAACAAUGCACAGAUAUUAACUGUAUUUGUGUUGAUAGUACCCGAAGAGGAAGGGACGGCUAACUCUGUGCCAGCAGCCGCGGUAAUACAGAGGUCUCAAGCGUUGUUCGGAUUCAUUGGGCGUAAAGGGUGCGUAGGCGGCGCGGUAAGUCGGGUGUGAAAUCUCGGGGCUUAACUCCGAAACUGCAUUCGAUACUGCCGUGCUUGAGGACUGGAGAGGAGACUGGAAUUUACGGUGUAGCGGUGAAAUGCGUAGAUAUCGUAAGGAAGACCAGUGGCGAAGGCGGGUCUCUGGACAGUUCCUGACGCUGAGGCACGAAGGUCAGGGGAGCAAACGGGAUUAGAUACCCCGGUAGUCCUGACAGUAAACGGUGCACGUUUGGUGUGGGAAGGAUUCGAC
rnacentral:rRNA from 1 species